rnacentral:rRNA from 1 species
AGAGUUUGAUCAUGGCUCAGAACGAACGCUGGCGGCAGGCCUAACACAUGCAAGUCGAGCGCCCAGCAAUGGGAGCGGCGGACGGGUGAGUAACACGUGGGAAUUUUCCUCAAGGUACGGAACAACUCAGGGAAACUUGGGCUAAUACCGUAUGAUGCAGAGAUGCCAAAGAUUUAUCGCCUUGGGAUAAGCCCGCGUCAGAUUAGGUAGUUGGUGGGGUAAUGGCCUACCAAGCCUGUGAUCUGUAGCUGGUCUGAGAGGACGAUCAGCCACAUUGGGACUGAGACACGGCCCAAACUCCUACGGGAGGCAGCAGUGGGGAAUCUUGCGCAAUGGGCGAAAGCCUGACGCAGCCAUGCCGCGUGAAUGAUGAAGGUCUUAGGAUUGUAAAGUUCUUUCGCUCGUGACGAUGAUGACGGUAACGAGAGAAGAAGCCCCGGCUAACUUCGUGCCAGCAGCCGCGGUAAUACGAAGGGGGCUAGCGUUGUUCGGAACUACUGGGCGUAAAGCGCGCGUAGGCGGCUUUGCAAGCCAGAGGUGAAAUGCCUGAGCUCAACUUAGGAAUUGCCUUUGGGACUGCGAGGCUUCGAGGACGGAAGAGGUGAGUGGAAUUCCCAGUGUAGAGGUGAAAUUCGUAGAUAUUGGGAAGAACACCGGUGGCGAAGGCGGCUCACUGGUCCGUUUCUGACGCUAAAGCGCGAAAGCGUGGGGAUCAAACAGGAUUAGAUACCCUGGUAGUCCACGCUGUAAACGAUGAGUGCUAGGCGUCGGCACGCUUGCGUGUCGGUGCCGCAGCUAAC